rnacentral:lncRNA from 1 species
GGUAAUGUAGUUGUUCUUUCAAGUUGCUCAAACACCUUCUACAUCUUGGCCUUUAUUUCCUCUAGGAUAUCUCACCAUCUAUUUUUCAUCCAUCCAUCCAUCUGUCCAUCUGUCCAUCCAUCCCCCAACAAAUAGAUAUGAGGAAGCUGCUGCAUGCUGGUCACUGCUGCAUACUAGGGAUACAUCCAGUUACUGUUUACAUCUAGAUGUCCUCUAAGAGCCUAAUGAGUGCGUAGGCAGAACUUUUGGAAGACUGAAACUGCCAAAAUGUGAUCCAAAAUAAUUAUUUCCUUCUUUAAGUUGUGGGUGUCAGUCAUUGUGUUUCAGCGAUGAGGAAAGUGAAUCAGAUAAUCCACCUGUAAAUAAAAUGGACGAAUCUAUCUUAUCAGAAGUUGUGGGAGCAGCUGUACGGAAGGAACACAUACAAAAAUUUUACACUUGAUUGAAUGAGAAGGGUACUUGUAUAAGUGUGGGUGAGAGCAAUGGGAAGAAAUGUGGACACAGAUACAACUGAGAAGACUUGUGUAAGCUGCUGAUAAUGUGUUGGAAGCCAAGGGUGAGGUUAACUCAACCUUCCACAUCUGAAUUCAGAUAACUUUACAUUUAAGACACUGCGCCAUUU